UACGUAGGGGGCUAGCGUUGUUCGGAAUCACUGGGCGUAAAGGGCGCGUAGGCGGCUUUUCAAGUCGGGGGUGAAAGCCUGUGGCUCAACCACAGAAUUGCCUUCGAUACUGUUAGGCUUGAGACCGGAAGAGGUGAGUGGAACUGCGAGUGCAGAGGUGAAAUUCGUAGAUAUUCGCAAGAACACCAGUGGCGAAGGCGGCUCACUGGUCCGGUUCUGACGCUGAGGCGCGAAAGCGUGGGGAGCAAACAGG
rnacentral:rRNA from 1 species